rnacentral:lncRNA from 1 species
UGGGAAAUGUAAUUUAAAGAAUCAUUGGCAUCUAGUUAGUUCCUUGAAGAGAACCCCUCCAUUCUAAGGGUUUCUUUAAGGGACUGUCAGAGUACAGGGCCUACCUGUUCUCUCCUGCCACCUGAGUUUCCUUCCUUGAAAGAAAUAAAUAUUAUCGCACUGCUCCCUGCCCUACAGACUCCAUAAGAAACUCUUAUAGGUUUAAAAGUCUUCCGUGUG